rnacentral:rRNA from 1 species
CUGGGCCUCAGGUCAGGCGAGACGACCCGCUGAAUUUAAGCAUAUUAAUAAGCGGAGGAAAAGAAACUAACCAGG